CCUACGUGAGGCAGCAGUAGGGAAUCUUCCACAAUGGGCGAAAGCCUGAUGGAGCAACGCCGCGUGGGUGAAGAAGGUCUUCGGAUCGUAAAACCCUGUUGUUAGAGAAGAAAGUGCGUGAGAGUAACUGUUCACGUUUCGACGGUAUCUAACCAGAAAGCCACGGCUAACUACGUGCCAGCAGCCGCGGUAAUACGUAGGUGGCAAGCGUUAUCCGGAUUUAUUGGGCGUAAAGGGAACGCAGGCGGUCUUUUAAGUCUGAUGUGAAAGCCUUCGGCUUAACCGGAGUAGUGCAUUGGAAUCUGGGAGACUUGAGUGCAGAAGAGGAGAGUGGAACUCCAUGUGUAGCGGUGAAAUGCGUAGAUAUAUGGAAGAACACCAGUGGCGAAAGCGGCUCUCUGGUCUGUAACUGACGCUGAGGUUCGAAAGCGUGGGUAGCAAACAGGAUUAGAUACCCUGGUAGUC
rnacentral:rRNA from 1 species